UAAUGGCUAGGGUUUGUGGUAGUAGGGUUGUUUGAAACAAGUUAACGAUUGACGUGUUUCCGAAGUAAAAUAGCGAAUUGUGUACGAUGAUUUGUGUAUGCGUUUUGCUCCCUAGGUUCGAAAGGCCUUCGACCAGCCACACCCUGACCCUAGUAGGCAGAGGUAUGAAGGACAUAGGGGCUGUGUGGGAAGUCCUUACGCGACGAGAGCGGAAGCAUUCAUCGUUGGUUUAAACUUGACGAGCAACGGGUCGAGACUCGCCGAGGCGACUACUAACGGAACACGGAACGUGACGAACGAUAUUGCUUUGUUUGUUCUAGAAGAUUUUGGAUAGCAAGUGUGUUUCAUUUCAGGGUCAUAGUAAAGGAUGUGACGAACUUCUAUGUCCUUGUUCCAGAAGUUCGGAGUUUGUACAGAAUCAAUAGUGCUGCAGUAGUUGAGUAUUAGUAAGUUGUAACGGUGUGUCAAACGGUUUUGAUUGUAAAACGUAUACUCUGAUAUUUGUAAAAGGUUUUGAAACUGCGCUUUUAAACCGUUUGUUAAAGGUGGAACGGGCUGUGCUAGAUGUGAGACAUCGCAAUAUAAGACCCAGGUUCCUAUGUAAUGUUUUCAGGUUUUGAAACAGACGUUUGUAUACGUCAAGAAUGGAAAGGUUUUCAUGAAAAUGAUUUUGUAUAUGAUUAUGAUUUUUUUUUAUCAA